rnacentral:rRNA from 1 species
AAAUCUCGUGCCAGCCACCGCGGUUAGACGAGAGGCCCCAGUUGAUAACAUAACGGCGUAAAGGGUGGUUAAGGACAGAAAAAAUUUUAAAGCCAAAUGGCCCCCUGGCCGUCAUACGCUUCUAGGCGCCCGAAGCCCCAACACGAAAGUAGCUUUAAACAAGCCCACCUGAACCCACGAAAGCUGAGAAACAAACUGGGAUUAGAUACCCCACUAUGCUCAGCCAUAAACCUAGACAUUUAACUACAAUUUAUGUCCGCCAGGGUACUACGAGCAUCAGCUUGAAACCCAAAAGACCUGACGGUGUCUCAAACCCCCCUAGAGGAGCCUGUUCUAGAACCGAUAAUCCCCGUUAAACCUCACCACAUCUAGCCACCCCAGCCUAUAUACCGCCGUCGUCAGCUUACCCUGUGAAGGACCUAAAAGUAAGCAAAAUGGGUACAACCCAAAACGUCAGGUCAAGGUGUAGCGCAUGAAGUGGAAAGAAAUGGGCUACAUUUUCUACCACAGAACAUCACGAAUAUGCACCAUGAAAUAAUGCUUGAAGGAGGAUUUAGUAGUAAAAAGGAAACAGAGAGUCCUUUUGAACCCGGCCCUGAGACGCGUACACACCGCCCGUC